ACUCUCAGCAACGGAUAUCUCGGCUCUCAUAACGAUGAAGAACGCAGCGAAAUGCGAUACGUGAUGUGAAUUGCAGAAUUCCGCGAAUCAUCGAGUUUUUGAACGCAUCUUGCGCCUGAGGCUUGUCCAAGGGCAUGUCUGCCUGAGCGUCC
rnacentral:rRNA from 2 species